UACGAAGGGGGCUAGCGUUGUUCGGAAUUACUGGGCGUAAAGGGCGCGUAGGCGGUACUUCAAGUCAGGCGUGAAAGCCCGGGGCUCAACCUGGGAACCGCGCUUGAGACUGGAGAACUAGAGUUCGGGAGAGGAUGGUGGAAUUCCCAGUGUAGAGGUGAAAUUCGUAGAUAUUGGGAAGAACACCGAUGGCGAAGGCAGCCAUCUGGACCGACACUGACGCUGAGGCGCGAAAGCGUGGGGAGCAAACAGG
rnacentral:rRNA from 1 species